rnacentral:tRNA from 1 species
CAAGAAAUAGUUUAAUUAAAAUAUUAAUUUUGGAGAUUAAUGAUAGGGGAAUCUUUUUCUUGA